rnacentral:rRNA from 1 species
CCUACGGGAGGCAGCAGUGAGGAAUCUUCCACAAUGGGCGAAAGCCUGAUGGAGCAACGCCGCGUGCAGGAUGAAGGCCUUCGGGUCGUAAACUGCUUUUAUGGGUGAAGAAUAUGACUGUAACCCAUGAAUAAGCACCGGCUAACUACGUGCCAGCAGCCGCGGUCAUACGUAGGGUGCAAGCAUUAUCCGGAGUGACUGGGCGUAAAGAGUUGCGUAGGUGGUUUUAUAAGCGAAUAGUGAAAUCUGAAGGCUCAACCUUACAGACUGUUAUUCGAACUGUAAAACUCGAGAAUGGUAGAGGUAACUGGAAUUUCUAGUGUAGGAGUGAAAUCCGUAGAUAUUAGAAGGAACACCGAUGGCGUAGGCAGGUUACUGGACCAUUUCUGACACUAAGGCACGAAAGCGUGGGGAGCGAACCGGAUUAGAUACCCCUGUAGUC